ACGGCUCCAGUAACGCGUAUCCAUUUCCCUUAUGGCCGGGAUACCCUCCGGAAACUGAGAAAUAAUUCCCGAUAGAUCCAUUAUGCCUGGAAAUGGUUUAUGGUUUCCAAAUGAUUUAUCCGCCAUAGGAAUGGGGCCUCGGCCCUAUCAGCUUUGUUGGGUGAGGUAAUGGCCCCACCAAGACUAUUACAGAGUACGGGGCUCUGAGAGGAGUAGCCCGGAGAUGGGUACUGAGACCACUGGACCCAGGCCCUAUGGGGCGCAGCAGGCGGGAAAACUUUGCAAUGUGCGAAAGCACGACAAGGUUAAUCCGAGUGGUUUCUGCUAAAGAAACCUUUUGUCAGUCCUAGAAACACUAACGAAUAAGGGGUGGGCAAGUUCUGGUGUCAGCCACCGCGGUAAAACCAGCACCUCAAGUGGUCAGGAUGAUUAUUGGGCCUAAAGCAUCCGUAGCUCGUUUUGUCAAGUUUUCGGUUAAAUCCAUACGCUUAACGUAUGGGCUGCCGGGAAUACUGCAUAACUAGGAAGUGGGAGAGGUAGACGGUACUCGGUAGGAAGGGGUAAAAUCCUUUGAUCUAUUGAUGACCACCUGUCGCGAAGGCGGUCUACCAGAACACGUUCGACGGUGAGGGAUGAAAGCUGGGGGAGCAAACCGGAUUAGAUACCCGGGUAGUCCCAGCUGUAGACUAUGCAAACUCAGUGAUGCAUUGGCUUGUGGCCAAUGCAGUGCUGCAGGGAAGCCGUUAAGUUUGCCGCCUGGGAAGUACGUACGCAAGUAUGAAACUUAAAGGAAUUGGCGGGGGAGGGCCACAAGGGGUGAAGCCUGCGGUUCAAUGGAGUCAACGCCGG
rnacentral:rRNA from 1 species